rnacentral:rRNA from 1 species
AGAGUUUGAUCCUGGCUCAGAAUGAACGUUGGCGGCGUGGAUUAGGCAUGCAAGUCGGACGGGCCGCAAGGCCAGUGGCGGAAGGGUGAGUAAGGCGACGGUAACCAACCCCGCGGAUGGGCAUAGCCGGGGGAAACCCCGGGUAAUUCCCAGCGACGUGACGCCCCGGCAUCGGGGGGUCACCAAAGAUUCAUCGCCGCGGGACGGGCCGUUGUGGUAUUAGCUGGUUGGCGGGGUGACGGCCCACCAAGGCUACGAUGCCUACCGGGCGUGCGAGCGUGGCCCGGCACACUGGGACUGAGACACUGCCCAGACUCCUACGGGAGGCUGCAGUCGAGAAUCUUCGGCAAUGGGCGCAAGCCUGACCGAGCGACGCCGCGUGGAGGAUGAAGGCCUUCGGGUUGUAAACUCCUGUCGAGGGGGAGGAAGGCGCAAGCUUGACCGAUCCCUGGAGGAAGCACGGGCUAAGUUCGUGCCAGCAGCCGCGGUAAGACGAACCGUGCGAACGUUAUUCGGAAUCACUGGGCUUAAAGCGCGUGUAGGCGGGCCGCCACGUCGGCUGCUGAAAUCCCCCGGCUCAACCGGGGAACGGGCACCGAUACGAGCGGCCUGGAGGGGGGUAGGGGGACCUGGAACUUCCGGUGGAGCGGUGAAAUGCGUUGAGAUCGGAAGGAACGCCCGUGGCGAAAGCGAGGUCCUGGACCCUUUCUGACGCUGAGACGCGAAAGCCAGGGGAGCGAACGGGAUUAGAUACCCCGGUAGUCC